rnacentral:rRNA from 1 species
UACAGAGGUGGCAAGCGUUGUUCGGAAUUACUGGGCGUAAAGGGCGAGUAGGUGGCCAUCUAAGUCAGACGUGAAAUCCCCCCGGCUUAACCCGGGAACUGCGUCCGAUACUGGGAGGCUUGAAUCCGGGAGAGGGAUGUGGAAUUCCAGGUGUAGCGGUGAAAUGCGUAGAUAUCAGGAGGAACACCGGUGGCGAAGGCGGGUCUCUGGGCCGAAAUUGACGCUGAGGAGCGAAAGCGUGGGGAGCAAACAGG